rnacentral:rRNA from 1 species
UACAGAGGGGGCAAGCGUUGUUCGGAAUUACUGGGCGUAAAGGGCGCGUAGGCGGCCUUCUAAGUCGAACGUGAAAUCCCUGGGCUCAACCCAGGAACUGCGUCCGAUACUGGAAGGCUUGAAUCCGGGAGAGGGAUGCGGAAUUCCAGGUGUAGCGGUGAAAUGCGUAGAUAUCUGGAGGAACACCGGUGGCGAAGGCGCAUCCUGGACCGGCAUUGACGCUGAGGCGCGAAAGCCAGGGGAGCAAACGGG